rnacentral:rRNA from 1 species
UACGGGGGGGGGCAAGCGUUGUUCGGAAUUACUGGGCGUAAAGGGCUCGUAGGUGGCCAACUAAGUCAGACGUGAAAUCCCUCAGCUUAACUGGGGAACUGCGUCUGAUACUGGAUGGCUUGAGUUCGGGAGAGGGAUGCGGAAUUCCCAGUGUAGCGGUGAAAUGCGUAGAUAUUGGGAGGAACACCAGUGGCGAAGGCGGGUCUCUGGGCAGUAACUGACGCUGAGGAGCGAAAGCGUGGGGAGCGAACAGG